UACGUAGGGUGCGAGCGUUAAUCGGAAUUACUGGGCGUAAAGCGUGCGCAGGCGGUUUUGUAAGCCAGAUGUGAAAUCCCCAGGCUUAACCUGGGAACUGCAUCCGAUACUGGAUGGCUUGAAUUCGGGAGAGGGAUGCAGAAUUCCAGGUGCAGCGGUGAAAUGCGUAGAUAUCUGGAGGAAUACCGGUGGCGAAGGCGGCAUCCCUGGACCGACAUUGACCGCUGAGUGAGCGAAAGCUAGGGGAGCAAACGGG
rnacentral:rRNA from 1 species